ACGGCUUUGAUGAAGCCAAAAUGAAGCAGCUCCAGCUGCUGAAAGAGAAAAUGAAAGUAGCAAAGGCUCAAAAGGUAGAAGAAGUUAAAAAGACAACCGAAGAUUCAUUUUUACGUGAUAAUAAAACUAUUAAGUCAUUUGAAAAUACAGAUAAUAGAUUUAUAAAGUUAGGUAAAAAGACAUUUGAUACAUUUCCAUCAAAUAAAAAACCAAUUCAUAUGAAAAAUAGCAGAUUUCCAUUUCAACAGUCAAAAAGUAGUAUCACAAAUUUUACAUAUAAAUUAAAAAAUGGUACUGGUAAAGUUAAUGCGAAUGAAGCCAAUAUGUUUGAUACGCCUUUAUCUUUUGAAGAAGUAAUGAGAAGAAAAAAUGAACAAAAAAAAUUACAAUUAGAGAAAAAUUUUCAAAAUGGUAUAAACGAUUUUGAAAAUUCAAAAAAUAUUAAUACCAUGACAACAACUGAAUAUAAAGAAGGAAAAACUGUGUCAGACCAAUUUCAAAAUAUACAUUAUGAUUCUUUACUUAUUGCCAAUAAAAACAACAAUAAUGAUAAUAUUAAUAAUAAUAACCUCAACAAUGAAAUAAAUAAAGAAUUAAAUUUAAAUAAUAAAAAUAAUUAUAUGAACAGUAAUGAAAAUUUAAAUUAUAAUGAUAUUAAUAAAACUAUGCCUUUAAGUGUUAAUCAUGGAAACAAUGACAGCAGUAAUAUAAAUAUUAACAGUACUAGUAUGGGUAGUAGCAACAGUAAUAUAAACAUAAGUAAUGACCUUAUUACAGGUGAUAAUAACAUAAGUAGCAAUAACAAUAUAUUGGGUAAUCAUAAUGAAUUAAAAGUAAACAACGGGCAUUACAGUCAAACGCAUCAAAUGAGUAAUCGGAGUAGUAUUGAAUUAAAUAUGAAUAUGAACAACUCUUUUAAUAAUUUUUCUAAUUAUACAAAUAAAUUGAACAAUAUGAAUAACCAAAAGCUGACAACUCUCAGUAGUAGCAUUAACAUACCAAACGGUGAUACAAAUAUACCAAAUAGUGAAAAUAAUGUAUUAAACAUAAGCAACAACAAUAAUUUAAAAAUUUGUACUAAUAUAAAUAGAUCAUUUGAUAAAAAUGAAACAAGUAAUAAUAUUAAUAACAAUGGGGCUAGUAUAUUUGGUUUUUCAAAUUCUAUUAAUCACAUAAAUCACAAAGAAACUAAUCAAUUAAAUAGUUCACAAUCUAACAGUUUGUUAUUAAAUAAUGAAAGAAGUAAUAACAUUUUUGGUAUUUCUUCUAAUCAGCCUAGUACUGCUAGUACCCCUACUACUGCUAGUGUCCAACAAAACGUUUUUAAUAACACACCUGUACAGACGUUCCAAUUUACAAACCAAAAUAGUAAUAACAUCCAACAUGAUAUAAAAACACAUAAUGUUAAUAAUUUUGUUAAUAAAAUAACUAAUAAUGAUAUAUCAAGUGCUAACCGUUUUUUUAAUAAAACUAGUAGUUUAUUUACUAGUAAAACUAUAGAGAAUACAAAUACUUUUUCGAAUAGUAACAACAGUAUAUUUAAUCGUACAAAUAUGUACGUAAAUAGAAGCAAUACAUCUGGAAUAAUUAAUAUUAAUAAUCUUGAUAACAAUAUUAAUUGUGUUAGUAAAAAAAGUAACGACUUAAAUGGAAAUAAUAAUAACAGUCGUAGUAGUAAUAAUAUCAACCAACAACUGAUAGACACAAAUAAUGAAUUAAUAAACUACAGUUAUAAUCAAAGUAACAAAAUUACACUUAAUAUUACUAAUAAUAAACAAAAUAAACAAAACGACAUUAAUACUUUUAAUACUAACUCUAAUCAUUUCAUUGGCCCUAAUAAUAAUAAUAAUAAUAAUAGUAAUAAUAAUAAUAGUAAUAAUAAUAAUAGUAAUAAUAAUAAUAGUAAUAAUAGUGGUAAUAAUAAUGCCAGUGUAAAUGUCACAAGUUUUAAAAACAAUACAUACUAUCCUGGAGGUAUUCAUAUGAAUACUUACGGAAAUAAAAUUAUGAACAGUAAUCAUGUUAAUGUUAAUGCAAAUGAAAAUAAGCACAUCUCAACAGUAGGACAAGCAAAUAAAAUGUUUGGUAUGGAUAUUAUUAAAAAUGAAAAUUCAGAUCAGUCAACAACACCAAUGGACACCCAAGUUGUUAAUGUAGUUAGUGCAGUUAAUACAACUAGAGAGGCAAACACAAACGAAAAGACAAACACAACAAAUGAAGAGACAGACACAACUGAUGGACCUACUGAAACUAAUAUCUCCAAAGUAGGUAACAUUUUUAAAAAGUGUGUUUCAAGUUAUUUUGGUAAUGUAAGCCCAUUUAAAUUUUCCAGUUUAUCCAAAAAAAUAUUAAAAAAUGAAAAUAUAACUGAACAUGUUAAGGAUGUAAAUACAGAUACCGAAACUUUGAAUAAUAAACAAAAUAAUAAUGAUAUGAAUAUAAACACAAGUAACAUUAAUAACGCUUGUAAUAAUAAUAACACCUUAACCGUAAAAAAUACAAAUAGUAUUAUAGAAAAUAUAGAGGCAUUUAAAAUAAAUAAUAAUACUAAACAGGUAGAUAAUCAAGAGAUAAUAUAUACUAGCUCGGAAUUACCGCUCAGUACAACUAGUUUUGCAACCAGCCACUUGUCUAACAAUCCUACGUCUGAUUCCAAUGUAAAUAUCGGAAUAAUGAAUAAAGUCUCAACCGGUUUUUGUGUUAACAGCUGUACCACAACAGGUAAUAAUAAUAACAAUGAUGUAAUGAAAAAUGAUUAUAAUAACAUUCAAACAGAACAUCCUAAUACGCCUUUUAUAAAUUGGAGCAACGAAAAUAAUAGAAAUCGUGAUGUACUACCAUCCUUAACAAAAUCUAAUAUAUUUUCUGAAAAUGUACAAAAUGAAAAUGUAAAAAAUGAACAUGUACAGAAUGAAAAUGACGAUAACGGUAACGACAGUAGUCAAUCCAAUGAUGACUUACAUGUUAAGACCUUAUUAGAAAAUAAACAAAAUAACUUUACACAACUUGAAGAGCAACAAAACACGGUAUAUAAUGUUAUGCAAACAUGUAGUAAUAAUAAUAAUGACACCAUUAAAAAUGACACACUUGUCAGGAGUAGUAACAUACCUGACGAAACAGACAUGCAGAUUAAGAUUGACACACCUGUUGACACAUAUGUUGACAAAUUUUUUGACACAUAUGUUGACAAAUCUGUUGACACAUAUGUUGACAAAUCUGUUGACACAUAUGUUGACAAAUCUGUUGACACAUAUGUUGAAAAAUCUGUUGACACAUAUGUUGACAAAUCUGUUGACACAUAUGUUGAAAAAUCUGUUGACACAUAUAUUGACAAAUCUGUUGACACAUAUGUUGACAAAUCUGUUCACACACCUGUCGACAUACCUGUUGAAAACAAUUUUUUAUUACAAAACAAUAAAGACGAUAUGAAUACCAACAAUUUUAAUUAUAUAUCUAAUCCCUAUAUAAAUAAUGAAUUGUGCGAAAAUAAAAAUGAAAGUGUUAAUAAUAGUGUAAUGUCAGAUAAUUGUAAAGGUGUCAAUGAAAACGCUAAUGAAAUGACUGAUAUUUUUAAUAGUAGCAUCGUACUUGAUAACAACAACAAUGUUAAACCCAAUGAUAGCAAAAAAAUUUCAGGGAUAUUUCAACUAAUUUCUAAUAAUAAUAAUAUAUUGAAUAUAAAUGCAGACAAUUUUGAUAAUAAGGAAGACUUUGAAAAAGUUAACCAAAUUUAUAAAAAUAUUAAUUGUAUAAAUAAGAAUAUAAAUUAUAUAAAUAAAUAUGUUCCUUCUAAUAUUGAAGAAGUAAAUAAUUUG
rnacentral:lncRNA from 1 species